UGCCUAAUACAUGCAAGUCGAGCGAAUCGAUGGGAGCUUGCUCCCUGAGAUUAGCGGCGGACGGGUGAGUAACACGUGGGCAACCUGCCUAUAAGACUGGGAUAACUUCGGGAAACCGGAGCUAAUACCGGAUACGUUCUUUUCUCGCAUGAGAGAAGAUGGAAAGACGGUUUCGGCUGUCACUUAUAGAUGGGCCCGCGGCGCAUUAGCUAGUUGGUGAGGUAAUGGCUCACCAAGGCGACGAUGCGUAGCCGACCUGAGAGGGUGAUCGGCCACACUGGGACUGAGACACGGCCCAGACUCCUACGGGAGGCAGCAGUAGGGAAUCUUCCGCAAUGGACGAAAGUCUGACGGAGCAACGCCGCGUGAACGAAGAAGGCCUUCGGGUCGUAAAGUUCUGUUGUUAGGGAAGAACAAGUACCAGAGUACUGCUG
rnacentral:rRNA from 2 species